CGUUUACUUUUCUACAUUGGCUAGAGGUAUAGGGGGAGGGUUGAGAUCUCACAAACAUGUUUAACCCCGCCGCAUUUUUGCGCCUGUCCCAAGUCAGGAGCCUCUGACCUUUGUUAGUCUUGUAUUAUUUUAAUUUUAGUUUUUUGUGUACAUUUGGAAAUUAGUAUGGCGUUCAUUAUCACUGAACUAGUAUAUAUUUGUUUAGGGGCCAGCUGAAGGACGACUCCGGGUGCGGGAAUUUCUCGCUACAUUGAAGAUCUGUUGGUGACCUUCUGCUGUUGUUUUUUUCUAUGGUCGGGUUGUUGUCUCUUUGGCACAUUCCCCAUUUCCAUUCUCAAUUUUAU
rnacentral:lncRNA from 1 species